rnacentral:tRNA from 1 species
UUGUGGUUUGAGUAGUUUCCAUUCUUUGCUUUUUUCGAGAGGUUCGGACGCCACACUGACAUUUUCUCCUUCUGCUUUAAUAAAAACAGUUGGUGGUUCUUGGUCACUACUAUAUC